rnacentral:rRNA from 1 species
GACGAACGCUGGCGGCGUGCUUAACACAUGCAAGUCGAGCGGUAAGGCCCUUUCGGGGGUACACGAGCGGCGAACGGGUGAGUAACACGUGGGUGACCUGCCCUCAGCUCUGGGGAUAAGCCUGGGAAACCGGGUCUAAUACCGGAUAUGACUCCAUGACGCAUGUUGUGGGGUGGAAAGCCUUGUGCGGCUGAGGAUGGGCCCGCGGCCUAUCAGCUUGUUGGUGGGGGAUGGCCUACCAAGGCGACGACGGGUAGCCGGCCUGAGAGGGCGACCGGCCACACUGGGACUGAGACACGGCCCAGACUCCUACGGGAGGCAGCAGUGGGGAAUCUUGCGCAAUGGGCGAAAGCCUGACGCAGCGACGCCGCGUGAGGGAUGACGGCCU